UCCCGGAAGGAGAAGAAAGAAGAAAGAAGGGGGCGGGGCGGGGGAGGAGGAGUCGUCACAGCUCCCGGGGCAGGGGCGGCUCUUCUAGCGCGGGGAUGUGGCCACAGGAACCCAGGACCAGGACAAGGCGGGAAUUGACAGGAAGUAUUGGGAAUCAAACUCAAGACCUUGCACUUGCGAGGCAGGCAUGGCACUGAGCUAAAUCCCCGGCUUAACAUACAUUUUAAUGGGGCUCUUACUUCGGGGAACUGCUAUACUUUCUGGAAAAGAGUAGAUUUCAUCAGUAACUCAAGAACGCCCAUUUCCUGCGGCCCCACCCACCUCCGUCCUUGCCUUCACCAAGGCUUGGCUCGGCAUGGUGCUGCCACCUAGAGGUCCGCGUCGGACAUUACCUCCAGCCCUCUCCGCAGAGGCCACCCUUCCAGCUGGAGUUUGAAGUUCUCUUUUACAGCCCUGAGGAUUCAGAACUAAGGAUCAGAUCUUCCAGUGUGAGGACAGCCUGAGAAGAGCAAGACAGAAUGAAAUAGAGAAUGCCAGUGCGUGCUGCCACCGGCCAAGCCUGAAGAGGACUCUUCGUCUCUUCCCGCUCCCUUUCUCCUUCCUGCACCCUUUCUCCUCCGUAGAUUAGAGUCAGACAGACACACUCAUUUUGUAGACCCUGGAUGGCACAGCCUGGGAGAUAGUUACAGUGUAUCCUUCCCUGUUCUCUUCUUGUUCAUGCCCCAAUAACGAAACAAUCACGCUACGAUCUGCCCAGGCCACGGAGGCCAUGUAGCACCAUUUGCCCCACCUUCUCUUCCUGUUUACCUUCCACUAUAAAUAAAGUGUAUGGUUCCCCAGGCUGCCGUUAACUCCCGACAAGCUAUGGUUCCAUCUGGUCCCAGCUAAGAGUAAUCUUGGUCUUUGUCGACUUUUCUUCAUCUCCCACCACUCCCCCUGGCUUUGGACCCCACGCUGUGCGUGUCGCGGCAGCGUGCAUGUGUACGCAAAAAGCCCAGUACAAAAUGAAAGUGUGGGGCCACUUUUUCCAAAAUUAUUAUGAAU